rnacentral:rRNA from 1 species
UUACAAGUACCCGGAGGGAAAGUUGCAAAGCACUUUGAAGAGAGAGUUAAAGAGGACGUGAAACCGAUGAGGUGGAAACGGACAGAGCUGGCGUAUCUGGUCUGCAUUCAUCCGUGUGCUUUUGGGCGUUUGGAUUGCCACUCUCCAGACUGGGAUGGUGUUCAUUCUGUUCAGGGGCUCAUGGAGCAUUUGCAGGCGGAGUGCGCUGAGAUGCUCGGGGCAGCUGCAUGAGCUUGGCUUUGAGGCCAGCCCUUCGGGGUCUGGUACCCGGGCUGGGGGAGUGUUGUUUGUUCUGGGUGCUGAGUGGUGUGCAAUGGCAACGGGUCCGUGUUGGUUUGAGCUGGCGGUCGGUGGCGGUCGCGUGCGACACGUGCCAGCAGUCAGUUCGGUCCUGCUCGGGCUCUCAUUGCAUGUUCUCGGUGUAAAAGCCGGUCAUCUGUCCGACCCGUCUUGAAACACGGACCAAGGAGUUUAGCGUGUGCGCGAGUCAUUGGGAGUUGAAAACCCAAGGGCGUAAUGAAAGUGAAGGUCUCCUUGCGGAGCUGAUGUGUGAUCCCGUGCACCACGGUGUGCGGGCGCAACAUAGUCCCGUUCCUAUCGCAUGCGAUGGGGCGGAGACAGAGCGUACGCGCUGAGACCCGAAAGAUGGUGAACUAUUCCUGAGCAGGAUGAAGCCAGAGGAAACUCUGGUGGAAGUCCGAAGCGAUUCUGACGUGCAAAUCGAUCGUCUGACUUGGGUAUAGGGGCGAAAGACUAAUCGAACCAUCUAGUAGCUGGUUCCUUCCGAA